rnacentral:rRNA from 1 species
GACGAACGCUGGCGGCGUGCUUAACACAUGCAAGUCGAACGGAAAGGCCCUGCUUUUGUGGGGUGCUCGAGUGGCGAACGGGUGAGUAACACGUGAGUAACCUGCCCUUGACUUUGGGAUAACUUCAGGAAACUGGGGCUAAUACCGGAUAGGAGCUCCUGCUGCAUGGUGGGGGUUGGAAAGUUUCGGCGGUUGGGGAUGGACUCGCGGCUUAUCAGCUUGUUGGUGGGGUAGUGGCUUACCAAGGCUUUGACGGGUAGCCGGCCGGAGAGGGUGACCGGCCACUUUGGGACUGGGAUACGGCCCAGACUCCUACGGGAGGCAGCAGUGGGGAAUAUUGCAAAAUGGGCGGAAGCCUGAUGCAGCAACGCCGCGUGCGGGAUGACGGCCUUCGGGUUGUAAACCGCUUUCGCCUGUGACGAAGCGUGAGUGACGGUAAUGGGUAAAGAAGCACCGGCUAACUACGUG